UUGAUUAUUGAUUGUCGUUGAAUCACACUGGCGCAAGAACUGAAACUCUUUUUUCCCAUUGCGCUACAAAUGAAUCGUGGUGGCCAGGUGCAGGAUGUUUUGUGAUGCUACAUGGCAGCCAAUUUUGAGGAAUGACAGUAGGAUAAUAUUAUUGUGUAACAUAUGCUUUCGUAUAAGCACUCUAGAUGUACAUUAAAAAUUUAUCAAUCAAUAAAGUAUUAUUUCUUAACAA